UACGUAGGGGGCAAGCGUUAUCCGGAAUGAUUGGGCGUAAAGCGUCUGUAGGUGGCUUUCAAGUCCGCCGUCAAAUCCCAGGGCUCAACCCUGGACAGGCGGUGGAAACUACCAAGCUGGAGUACGGUAGGGGCAGAGGGAAUUUCCGGUGGAGCGGUGAAAUGCAUUGAGAUCGGAAAGAACACCAACGCGAAAGCACUCUGCUGGCCGACACUGACACUGAGAGACGAAAGCUAGGGAGCAAAUGGG
rnacentral:rRNA from 1 species